AAGGGGAAAAAAAGAAACAGUUUUCCAGUGAGGCUUGUCAGGGGGAAGACUGAUCGCCGGCAGGCCAGCUCGGACCAUGAGCACAGUUCCAAGAAUGCAGGGAUGAGGAGGAGCCGGGCUGGGCUGUUGAGUCCAGGCUGAGCCCACACAUCAUGUUCCUCUCUCAGAGCAUCUUGACGGGAGGGAACCAUCUCUGUGGGACCCGCCUCUGCCAUGAAAUUGCCCAUGCCUGGUUUGGCCUAGCCAUCGGGGCCCGAGACUGGACAGAGGAGUGGCUGAGUGAAGGCUUCGCCACUCACUUGGAGGAUGUGUUUUGGGCCACAGCACAGCAGCUGGCCCCCCAUGAGGCCCGGGAGCAGCAGGAGCUGAGGGCUUGUCUGCGCUGGCGUCGCCUCCAGGACGAGAUGCAAUGCUCCCCCGAGGAGAUGCAGGUGUUAAGGUUUCCACAUGUUGGCGGACAUAGUGGAAGCUUCUCUUGAGAUCUUUGCCACACUGUUCAACAUGUUUGACCACUCUCUCCUAAAAACACUUUCUUCUUAAAGCACUUUCUCCUCCUGGCUUCUGUGUGUCUUACUCUCCUUGAGUUCCCUCUGCCUCUGUGGCCAGUCCUUCCUCACCUCUCUUGCUGGCAGGUUAACAGUCUCCACUUCAAUAGCCCAAGGCUCAGAAAGACUGAGUAAGGCGUCUAACCUCCUCUAGCUGAUAAAGAACCAAGGCUCAGAAAGACUGAAUAACGUGUCUAACCUCCUCUAGCUGAUAAAGAAGAGAACAGGGAUUUAAACCCAGGGACGGAAACUCUUCUCGGUUCCCUAUACCAUAUUCCUGUCUUCAGGGAACUGAGAGCAUUUAGUUGCAUUAAAACAAAUACAAAAACAAACAAACAAAAAAACCUGCAGGUAUCUUGGGCUCUGGAAGGACAUACAGGUCAGGGUGAAAAGUAUGCUUGGUCCAAGCAUCUUUUUUCUUUUAACACAUGAAGUAUGUGUCUUAUUAUUUUAAAAGACAUUGAGAAAAAGGAACACUCAACAUCCUCUUGGUUAUAGAUACUGGAGUAUUAACAAAGUGAAAAGAGAAAAACUAAAAUUUUGUUUGGCUCUGACUUACUAGUUUUAGUAAUUUAUAAGAACAGCUUUCCAUUUGUGCCUUCCAUACAUCCACUGAGUCAUGAGGUUUCAUCAAAUGUUUCUUUUUUUCUUUUCUUUCUUUCUUUCUUUCUUUCUUUUUCUUUCGACAGAGUCUUGCUCUGUCGCCCAGGCUGGAGUGCAGUGGCAUGAUCUCUGCUCACUGCAACCUCUGCCUCCUGGAUUCAAGUGAUUCUCCCACCUCAGCCUCCCAAGUAGCUGGGACUGUAGGCAUGUGCCACCAUGCCCGGCUAAUUUUUGUAUUUUUAGUAGAGACAGGGUUUCACCAUUUUGGCCAGGCUGGUCUCGAACUCCUAACCUCAAGUGAUCUGCCUGCCUCGGCCUCCCAAAGUGCUGGGAUUAUAGGCGUGAACCACUGCGCCCAGCCCAGAUGUUUCUUAGAUUGACUUUGCUGUGUUUCCUUUGUAUCAGAUUUGUCUGAGAUUGACUUCCUUGUAAGUCAUUCGUUAACAGGUUUCUUGUGUUUUCCUAGCCUUCUCAGCCUUCAUUGGCUGGAGAGCCUGUAAUGUGGCUACAGGCUUCUGAGGCAAGACGAUUUGCUCAGUUUCAAAAUGUUAGGGGUUACAUGCCAUUUUUCAUUUGUUAAUUAUUGAAGAUGUCUUUCCCACACAUAAGACCCCAAGGACUCUCCCAGACUCUUCAUCUCCUCUCUGGCCCUGGGCAGAACUCUUCCCCAGGCAAAGUCUGAUUUCAGUGUUCCUUUCUGUCCUGCCACUGCUCAGCUAUCUCCUGUCAUCCAUCCCCUGCCUACAAGGUCCCCUCCUGACUCGUGCAGCAGUGGUGGCUCUUGCCUGAGAUGCAUGGGAGCUUCCGAAAGGCUCACCAUGCCUCCUGUCUCCAGGGUGCAGCUGGAUUCCGGCAGCUUCUGCCUAAGUGCUUUCAGUUAGCACACUCUGACAGGUCCCAGGGAUGGAAGAGCUAAGGUGGCAGGGUCAGAAGAAAUCUGUUGUUUUUUAUUGUUUGUGAUUUAUUAUGACUUCUCUUUUUUUCUGGAUUCAUUGUUAAAGUCAAGCUCCUGCUGAGGAAAACGUUAAAAUGUAUUGCUUUAAGGAGGUGCUGACAGGCAGGAGUCUAUGGAACUCUUAAUCUUAGCUGCUGCCUCCACUUUGAUACAAUGCUAGAUAAAUGCGAGCAUCUUUUCCUAACCUUCCUCCUGAAUGCCUCAUCCCUUGAUCACAAAAACAUCCCUUAAUAAUAGGGGGAAAACCCCAAGUAUGUAACCCUAUCCAUAGCCAAAAUAAAGUCUGCAUGCCAC
rnacentral:sRNA from 1 species